GAUGAACGCUAGCGGCAGGCCUAAUACAUGCCAGCCGAACGGCAAGUUUGAUAGCAAUAUUGGACCUAGAGUGGCGCACGGGUGCGUAACACGUAUGCAACCUGCCCGCGACAGGAGGAUAGCUCCCCGAAAGGGGAAUUAACCCUCCAUAACACCAUGAGAAGGCAUCUGAUUAUGGUUAAACUGCAAGGGGUCGCGGAUGGGCAUGCGGUUGAUUAGCUAGUUGGCGGGGUAAAGGCCCACCAAGGCGGUGAUCAAUAGGGGUUCUGAGAGGAAGGGCCUGCACGGGUGCACUGAGAGACGGGCAAGGAUCCUACGCGAGGCAGCAGUAGGGAAUAAUGGAUGAUGGUUGCAAGACUGAGCGAGGCAGGCCGCGUGAAGAAAGAAGGCCUUCUGGGGCGUAAACUGCUUUUUCCUGUGGAUAAAAUACCCGAGCGCGGGGAAUUGAAGGUAACAGGGGAAGAAGCCACGGCUAACUACGUG
rnacentral:rRNA from 1 species